rnacentral:rRNA from 1 species
CCCUUAGAUGUUCUGGGCUGCACGCGCGCUACACUGAAGCGUUCAACGAGUAUUCACCUUGCCCGGGAGGGUUGGGUAAUCUUUUGAAAACGCUUCGUGAUGGGGAUAGAUUAUUGCAAUUAUUAAUCUUCAACGAGGAAUUCCUAGUAAGCGCGAGUCAUCAGCUCGUGCUGAUUACGUCCCUGCCCUUUGUACACACCGCCCGUCGCUCCUACUGAUGAAUGGUCCGAUGAGUAUUCCGGAUGGAGACUGAUUUAGGCUUCGCCUUGCAGCUUCUCCAGAAGUUAUCCAAAUCUUAUCAUUUAGAGGAAGGAGAAGUCGUAACA